rnacentral:rRNA from 1 species
UAUUUUAGUCUUGUUAGAGGAACCUGUUUUAUAAUCGAUAAACCACGUAAAUCUUACUUAUUUUAAAUAAUUUGUAUACCGUCAUUAUUAGAUAACUUUUUAAAAAAUAGUUAUUAAAAUUAAAUAAAGUUAAAUAUAUUAGAUCAAGGUGCAGUUAAUAAAUAAGAAAAAAUGGGUUACAAUAAAAUUUAUUUAAAACGAAUUAUAUAAAUGUAAAAAUAUAUGAAGGAGGAUUUAAUUGUAAUUUUUUUUUUAUAAAUAAAUAAUAUGAUAAUAGCUCUAAAAUAU